rnacentral:rRNA from 1 species
UACGUAGGGGGCAAGCGUUGUCCGGAAUCAUUGGGCGUAAAGCGCGCGUAGGCGGCCCGGUAAGUCCGCUGUAAAAGUCAAAGGCUCAACCUUUGAAUGUCAGUGGAUACUGCCGGGCUAGAGUCCGGAAGAGGAGAAUGGAAUUCCCGGUGUAGCGGUGAAAUGCGCAGAUAUCGGGAAGAACACCCGUGGCGAAGGCGGUUCUCUGGGACGGUACUGACGCUGAGACGCGAAAGCGUGGGGAGCGAACAGG